AGAAAUCACUUAUAAAGCGUAGCCGUAGGUUGAUAUCUAUGGGUUCACUUUUCGUAUCAAAGAGAACGCUUUUAAAAAGUAACUUAUUUAUUAUGUUUUGGGUGCUUUUUAAAAGUUAUGCCUAAUGUAUGUAUGGCAAAUCCCUAACACUUAGUAAAUUUUUUGUUCCCCUUUCAAUUUCCUCCAGAAGAACACACACCCACGAGACACUUUGCGCAUAGGAAACCCUCUUCCCUCCAGAAGCACACCCUUUCGCCAUUCUCACCUUCACACAUAACCCUCACCUUCGCCAACCCUUUCGCACACAACACACCCUCAAAUAAACUCAGCAAAAAUUUGCCCUCACCCAGUCACCCUCACUCACGCGACAUACACCCUCAUCCUCACUCCACCCAUACACGAAAGAGGGAAGAAAUCUGAAAGGGAGAACGGGAAGAAGAAGAAUAGUGAGGGAAGAAAGGAAAGGACGACGCCGGCUAAGGCUCCACCGCCGUCGUUGUCGAGCGCCAGUGAGAGAGAGAGAGCUCGAGGAAAAGAGAAAACGCGAUGGAGGAGAGAAGAAGGGGGUGCUCCGUCGCCACUGAAGCUCCAUCGCCGUUGCUAGGGCUUGUUGCCAUCGCCGUUCUGCCACCGUUGGGCUGCUGUGCUGCCGCCGAGGAGCUCGAAGGGAUGUCUCGCCGCCAUCAUGCUUUGUCACCAAGCUGUUGCGUUGUCGCUCAUCUCUUCUUCACCGUCGCCGCUCAUCUCUUCUUCACCGUCGCCGCUCAUCACCAGCGUCAUAUCCUCUGUCACCAGUUCGAAAGUGGGUAUGGUUUUGAUAGUGAUGAUGAAUUGCAACGGCUAAUUAAGAUAGAGAAGCGAGCUUGAUGCAGCUGCCACCAAGCUGCAGAAGGUUUAUAAGAGUUACCGUACCAGAAGAAACUUGGCAGAUUGUGCUGUGGUAGUGGAGGAACUAUGGUGGAAGACAUUGGAUUUUGCUACUCUUAAAAGGAGUUCAGUUUCAUUCUUUGAUGUGGAGAAACAAGAAUCUGCUGUGUCAAGGUGGGCAAGGGCAAGAACAAGAGCAGCUAAGGUAGCUAACCUCCGUGAAAGGUUCGAGCAACACAGACACGUGGAUUUGUUAAAUGGCAUUUGUGCUUCCAAGAAAAGCAAUGCUCGAUUUAAAAUAAAUGACAUUUGUGCUUCCAAGCUUCAUUGGCAAUUGCAUUUUGCCAUAGCCAUUGCUUACUCUCCUUUAUUUAGUGAAGCUUUCAUGGCCCAAGACAUUGGUCAAUAAGUGGUUCAAUAUCAAGUGCAAAACUGAUAACUUUCAAGUAGAUGAUGAUGCUGAUGAUGAUGUCCUUUAUCAAGGGAUACUUUUCAGAAUUCAUUUGGUUCUAUAAUUUUGUUUUCUUCAUGUGUCGCGAGACUGGUCAAAAGAAUAUUUCUGUAAGCAGGGCAGUAACUGCUUGGAAAUUAGUUCUUGCUGGGAAUGAACAAGAGAAUGAACAAGGGAACGAACACUGAUACAAUUGUUAAGGCCAGGAGUUUUCUUGAUGGUGAUGAAGAUCAGCAUGAAAAAGAUGUGUUUGAGAAGAAUUUGAAGUGACUACAUAUGUUUCGGAGACUGAGAUGGUUUGUGGGUCUGAAUCAGAAGAAUUUGUCAACAAAGAGGUUGGGCAAUGUUGAGCAGCAACCUGGAUCUGAAAGGCCAAGCCAGCUCCCUGUGUUAGAUGCUGUUCAUGAAGUUGUUGUUUACAUUCAUAGGUUUCAUAAUCUUGACCUUUUUUAACAAGGAUGGUACAAAAUCAAGGUUACCGUGAGAUGGGAGGUGGGUGAAGAUUCCUUUCCUGGGAUUCCACCACGAGUUGUUCAAUAUGAAGGUCACAUAUGUUCCUAAACUAUUUAUUGUUGUUGUGAAUGAGAAGAAGAAGAAGAUGAUGAAAAAGGAAGAAGAAAGAAGAUAUGAGAAGAAGGGUUGUUAUGAGAAGAAGAAGACGAAGGAUUGUUGUUGUGAAUGAGAAAGGAAGAGAAGAGGGAUCUGCGUUUGGUUACAUGUUUUUUUUUUAAUUUUUGUUUAAGGAUAAAAUUUUCCAAAAAUAUUGUUCAUUACAAAAGGAUGAUUUUAUAACGUUUUGUAAUGUUGAGGAUGAUUUUAAUAACGAAAAAAGGUCGGAGACGAUUUUGAUUUUGAGUCAAGAUCUUAGGGACGAAAAAAAUAUUUAACCCUAUAUUUUUUGUUACUCU